rnacentral:rRNA from 1 species
GACGAACGCUGGCGGCGUGCUUAACACAUGCAAGUCGAACGGAAAGGCCCCUUUGGGGGUGCUCGAUUGGCGAACGGGUGAGUAACACGUGAGUAACCUGCCCUUCAUUUCGGGAGAACUUCAUUAAACUGGGGGGAAUACCGGAUGGGAAUCCUUGCCUCAUGGUGGGGGGGGGAAGGCUUGUGCGGGUGUGGAGGGACUGGCGGCUGGUCAGUUUGUUUGUGGGGUGGUUGCUUGCCAAGGCUUUGACUGGUAGGCGGCCUGAGAGGGCGAGCGGCCACCAUGGGACUGGGAUACGGGCCCGACCCCCACCGGAGGGAGCAGGGGGGAAUAUUGGACAAUGGGCGGAAGCCCGAUGCAGGAAAGCCGCGGGCGGGAAUACGGGCCUUGGGUUGUAAACCGCUUUCAGCAGGGGAGAAGCCUGUGGUGACGGUAACUGCAGAAGAAGCACCGGCUAACUACGUG